AGCAGCCGCGGUAAUUCCAGCUCCAAUAGCGUAUAUUAAAGUUGCUGCAGUUAAAAAGCUCGUAGUUGAAUUUCGGGACUAAUAUGUCGGUCGUGCCUCGGUACGUACUGGCAUUGUUGGUUUCUCCCUUCUGACGAACCAUGAUGUCAUUUAUUUGGUGUCAUGGGAAAUCAGGACUGUUACUUUGAAAAAAUUAGAGUGUUUAAAGCAGGCUCACGCUUGAAUACAUUAGCAUGGAAUAAUGAAAUAGGACGUUUGAUUCUUAUUUUGUUGGUUUCUAGGAUCGGCGUAAUGAUUAAUAGGGAUAGGUUGGGGGCAUUAGUAUUCAAUUGUCAGAGGUGAAAUUCUUGGAUUUAUUGAAGACUAACUACUGCGAAAGCAUUUGCCAAGGAUGUUUUCAUUAAUCAAGAACGAAAGUUAGGGGAUCGAAGACGAUCAGAUACCGUCGUAGUCUUAACCAUAAACUAUGCCGACUAGGGAUCGGAUGAUGUUAAUUUUUAAUGA
rnacentral:rRNA from 1 species